rnacentral:rRNA from 1 species
CGGAUGAACGCUAGCGGCAGGCCUAACACAUGCAAGUCGAGGGGCAUCCGGGGGUGCAGCAAUGCACUGGCGGCGACCGGCGUACGGGUGCGUAACGCGUAUGCAACCUGCCCCGCACCGGGGGAUAGCCCGCCGAAAGGCGGAUUAAUACCCCAUGGUCCCGGGGGCCCGCAUGGGCAUCCGGGUAAAGCCUUGGCGGUGCGGGAUGGGCAUGCGUGCCAUUAGCUGGCUGGUGGGGUAACGGCCCACCAGGGCAACGAUGGCUAGGGGGUCUGAGAGGAUGGUCCCCCACACUGGUACUGAGACACGGACCAGACUCCUACGGGAGGCAGCAGUGAGGAAUAUUGGUCAAUGGGCGGAAGCCUGAACCAGCCAUGCCGCGUGCGGGAUGAAGGCCCUACGGGUUGUAAACCGCUUUUCCCCGGGAAGAAUAAGCCCCCCGCGGGAGGUGAUGCCGGUACCGGGGGAAUAAGGAUCGGCUAACUCCGUG